rnacentral:rRNA from 1 species
UGAGUAACCUGCCCUUGACUCUGGGAUAAGCCUGGGAAACUGGGUCUAAUACCGGAUAUGACUCCUCAUCGCAUGGUGGGGGGUGGAAAGCUUUUGUGGUUUUGGAUGGACUCGCGGCCUAUCAGCUUGUUGGUGGGGUAAUGGCCUACCAAGGCGACGACGGGUAGCCGGCCUGAGAGGGUGACCGGCCACACUGGGACUGAGACACGGCCCAGACUCCUACGGGAGGCAGCAGUGGGGAAUAUUGCACAAUGGGCGCAAGCCUGAUGCAGCGACGCCGCGUGAGGGAUGACGGCCUUCGGGUUGUAAACCUCUUUCAGUAGGGAAGAAGCGUAAGUGACGGUACCUGCAGAAGAAGCGCCGGCUAACUACGUGCCAGCAGCCGCGGUAAUACGUAGGGCGCAAGCGUUAUCCGGAAUUAUUGGGCGUAAAGAGCUCGUAGGCGGUUUGUCGCGUCUGCUGUGAAAGACCGGGGCUCAACUCCGGUUCUGCAGUGGGUACGGGCAGACUAGAGUGCAGUAGGGGAGACUGGAAUUCCUGGUGUAGCGGUGAAAUGCGCAGAUAUCAGGAGGAACACCGAUGGCGAAGGCAGGUCUCUGGGCUGUAACUGACGCUGAGGAGCGAAAGCAUGGGGAGCGAACAGGAUUAGAUACCCUGGUAGUCCAUGCCGUAAACGUUGGGCACUAGGUGUGGGGGACAUUCCACGUUUUCCGCGCCGUAGCUAACGCAUUAAGUGCCCCGCCUGGGGAGUACGGCCGCAAGGCUAAAACUCAAAGGAAUUGACGGGGGCCCGCACAAGCGGCGGAGCAUGCGGAUUAAUUCGAUGCAACGCGAAGAACCUUACCAAGGCUUGACAUGAACCGGAAAGACCUGGAAACAGGUGCCCCGCUUGCGGUCGGUUUACAGGUGGUGCAUGGUUGUCGUCAGCUCGUGUCGUGAGAUGUUGGGUUAAGUCCCGCAACGAGCGCAACCCUCGUUCUAUGUUGCCAGCGGUUCGGCCGGGGACUCAUAGGAGACUGCCGGGGUCAACUCGGAGGAAGGUGGGGACGACGUCAAAUCAUCAUGCCCCUUAUGUCUUGGGCUUCACGCAUGCUACAAUGGCCGGUACAAAGGGUUGCGAUACUGUGAGGUGGAGCUAAUCCCAAAAAGCCGGUCUCAGUUCGGAUUGGGGUCUGCAACUCGACCCCAUGAAGUCGGAGUCGCUAGUAAUCGCAGAUCAGCAACGCUGCGGUGAAUACGUUCCCGGGCCUUGUACACACCGCCCGUCAAGUCACGAAAGUUGGUAACACCCGAAGCCGGUGGCCUAACCC